UUUUCAGAUGAGUUGUCAAGGAAGCAGGAAACACAGACCUUCCAUAUCAACAAAUCAUUUUUACCAGGAAGAGCAGCGCUUCGAAAGCCAACUAGCUGACACAAACCCGAUGACACGGUCCGCUUCCAUCCUCCUCGGGUAGCAUCCGAGCAUUUGAUGCUUAAAAAACACCCCAGGCUGGGUGAGACUGUCAACAUGUGCAGCAGCAGAAGACAUCUCGUUCACCUAGGUUGAUGACAGCGUGGAGGCGUUUCGGUCUAAAAGGAUCUUUUUCGCCAAUCCAUAAGGACAACAAUGACCGAGAGGUGCAGGUGGCAACUUUGUUUCCUUGCCCUUCUCAGCUGAAGCAGGAAGAUGGAAGGUCUCUCUUGAAAUCCCACGCACAGGCUUUGAAAAGAAGAAAUGUAUUUUAAUCAUCUCCAAUUAAACAGGCACAUUCCAUUGGACCUUGUGCUGCCUGGUGAUAAAAAUCACACCUGCAGCA